AGUGAACGCUGGCGGUAGGCCUAACACAUGCAAGUCGAACGGCAGCACAGAGGAGCUUGCUCCUUGGGUGGCGAGUGGCGGACGGGUGAGGAAUACAUCGGAAUCUACUCUGUCGUGGGGGAUAACGUAGGGAAACUUACGCUAAUACCGCAUACGACCUACGGGUGAAAGCAGGGGAUCUUCGGACCUUGCGCGAUUGAAUGAGCCGAUGUCGGAUUAGCUAGUUGGCGGGGUAAAGGCCCACCAAGGCGACGAUCCGUAGCUGGUCUGAGAGGAUGAUCAGCAGCACUGGAACUGGGACACGUGGCAGACUCCUACGGGGAGCAGCAGGGGGGAAUAUUGGACAAGGGGCGCAAGCCUGAUCCAGCCAUACCGCGUGGGUGAAGAAGGCCUUCGGGUUGUAAAGCCCUUUUGUUGGGAAAGAAAUCCAUCUGGUUAAUACCCGGGUGGGAUGACGGUACCCAAAGAAUAAGCACCGGCUAACUUCGUGCCAGCCGCCGCAGUAA
rnacentral:rRNA from 1 species